UUCAUUUCCCUCCCAUUCUCACACACUCGACUCUCCCAAACUCUCUAGGUUUCCUCUCUCUUACUUUCCCCUCUUUGUUUCUUCUUUACAACAAACUGCUCAGCUCAGAACAGAUCGUUUGGUGGAAGAGGAGGCAGCACUCGUCGACAGAGCUGGUUAGAGUAGACUUCCAGUAUGGCUAGGCUUGUAAAGAAAUUUAUGGGGAAAAUGGAAGAAUAUGAUAAGGUUCUUCGUGUACUUGGUAGCCUCUGGUUUCAUGGUGUGUUUUGUGGUUGCUGAGCAAAAUCGUCUGGAAAGGAGACUCAUGAAAUGCAGGAAACAAGGGAUACUGCUGACGAGGUUUUUAGUCAGUUAAGUACUGUUCUUCAGCAAGCGGAGUUAGCAAGGAAAGACAGGGAAAAAAUUGUUGCAUUUCUUAAGGACAUCCCAGCUGCGGUUCACACUUUUGAAAAGUGAAGAAUAUGAAGAAUAUGUCAUGUGCUGAAUUAAUGUCUAAAAAAUUUAUUAAGUAGAGCUAUCUUUGUCAGUGUUUUCAUCCUCCUACUUGGUCCAGUGUUCCAACAUAAAUCUACACUACUGAUAAUAUUAGGUGGUUUAUUUUCUUUACUUUUGUAAAUUUUCACUUCCUAUUUUUAUUUUUUUUAGACAUAGGCCCGUCCUGCCCCUGGCAGCGUAGCCACCGGCUUCCUCCCCACUGAGCACUUCUUCCCUUUAGAAUAGAAAUCUGCAGUAUCUGUACCCCCUAAUGACCAGUCCUUUAUUUUAACCACAAUUUGUUGACAUCAUUAACUGCCAAAAGCUUGGUAUUGGUAACCCUCCACCAAAUUUAGUCCUUGUUUCUUCAUUAAUUUAUUUGGCUGGUCUGCUCUCUAGUCUAGGUAAUUGGGGAAUGAAAAGAUAUUGGCAUUGCCAUUGACACUGGUUCUUUCCAAUCAAGUAGUACAUUUUUGAAAAGACGUGAGCCUGAGACUAUAAUAGGAGACGGACAACUCACAGAGCCGUGAUGAAUGAAGACGUUCUCUCUCGAAUCUGCUGCCUUGAACUUCCCCAUUUCCUCUCUGUUUCUACUUUCUGCUCUGAUAUCUCAAAUCACAGGAACAGCUUUCAGUCUCCUCAGGCUGUUACUCGGAUUUUCAAAUCCUAGAUGGAAAGUGGUAAUUUUUAUAUUUUUUUUCUUGAGAAUUAGUUACUCUCUAAGUAAUUGUUUUUGUAAAUUUUCAAUAUCUUCAAAAAGGAGGAUUGAACAGGAUGGGUUGAAAUUGUUUUAGUUAUUCCUUCAUUGCUUCUUCCAGUUCAAAAUCAGCAUGUAGUUAACGAGGAUAAUCAUUUCUCUCGUAUUUCAGUGUAGGUCCUGAUAAAUGGUAGACCAAUCAACCCGUUUCCUGUACUAGGACUAUUUCUGUUUUACAGUUUCUGGUUUAAACAUACUUAAAAGUUGCUAUAUUUGUAUUUGGUGAUUGCUGGCUUUCGUAGGGGAUGGAAGGUCUACGUGGUUGGAAUUGAAUAUACAGAAGACCAGAUGCUCCGAGGAUGAAAGUGAUUGGGGUUUGAUGACUUUGUGCAGUUAAAGGGAUUUAAAGAUCUUAGAAAUGGGUAUAUACCGGAAUGAUGAUUGCAUUAUUGAAUGUUCAAUCUCAGCACAAGACUGUAUCGACUAUCGAGGAGUUGGUAACGGAAUCCAUUGAGAGGGAUUCAGCUUUUAUCUGUGCAUUUUGCCAAACCUCCCAUGUACAGUGCGUACAUUCAGAGUUCUGGAUACAUUUUGCGAAAGGAAAGGAAGUAGAAGAGGAUGAGGUAUCUGGACCAGAUGUGGUACAUGUUCACCAAAAAUGUUAUAUAUUCAUAUUUGGGGAUAUUCUAGGCGCCUAGACUGUAUUAUGCUGGUGAGACUGUUAUGAACUUGGAGAUGGAGCUGGCUAGGAGUUCUAACGUCAAAUGUAGCUGUUGUGGGUUAAAGGGUUCAGCUCUUGGAUGCUUUAAACACUCCUACAAGAAUACAUAUCAUGUUCCUUGUGCAUUUGAUACUUCUGAUUGCCGGUGGGAUGAUGAAGGUCAUCUAUUGUUAUGUCCAAGCCAUUCUGGUAUGAAGUUUUCACAUGAGAAAACCAAGACGGGAAAUAAGCUAGCAAAGGACAAUUCUUCAGCUGUUCAAAGGAGAAAAGGCUAAAAGAUAUGGAGACUACACAUGAGCAUUCCAUCCAGAAGAUUGGAUCUCCUUUCCCCCUUUCUCUUGUAGGUGUAUGUUCAGAUGCUAAAGAGAAAUGCAGGGGAAACUGCCUUAGAAGCUGAAAGAUGGGCAGACUUGGAUAAGGAGAUUGCAGCAAUUAGGAUUUCGCUGGACACAAUUUCCUCGGCAGCUUUUAUUAAUGGUUCAUACAUAACACAAUUUCCUCGGCAGCUUUUGUUAAUGGUUCAUACUUGCACAUAUAACCCAUCAGAGAUUGAUCACCGAAAAGUUAAAACACAAUCAACCUAGUUUCUCUGCUGUACUUAAUAAUUCCUGAAUUCUAAUAUGCAUGCAUUAAAAGUUUGAAUCACAGUUUGCUCGUGCAUGACCACAGUGCUGAGUUUACAGUGUUAUGUGGUCUGCUGAGCGUUCUCAUGUGUAGCUUUCCAUUGCAAGUGUCCAAUCCAAAUAUACAUAUGCAUACAUUAAACCGCAUGUUAAUGUGUUACAUAUGCUACUCUGUAAUUUGUAUGUUGCUCACCUAAUCAGUCAGAUCGACAAAUUGGGAAUGCAACAUGAUUUUUGGUAGUUGUUGCUUUUAGGUAGCUUUACCAUUGAGGUCUGUCUGGUUAUUCCUCCUUUUUCUGGUGGCAUGUUCUUUCCUCCCUUUUAGUCAGGU